rnacentral:rRNA from 1 species
GAUCCAGCAAUACCGUUUGUGUGAAGAAGGCCUGAGGGUUGUAAAGCACUUUUAAUCGGGAGGAACAUCUGAUGGCGAAUACCCAUCAGUCUGACAUUACCGAUAGAAAAAGCACAGGCUAACUCCGUGCCAGCAGCCGCGGUAAUACGGAGGGUGCAAGCGUUAAUCGGAAUUACUGGGCGUAAAGCGUGCGUAGGCGGCUGCUUAAGUCAGAUGUGAAAGCCCCGGGCUUAACCUGGGAACGGCAUUUGAUACUGGGCAGCUCGAGUUGAGUAGAGGAGAGGGGAAUUUCCGGUGUAGCGGUGAAAUGCGUAGAGAUCGGAAGGAACACCAGUGGCGAAGGCGCCUCUCUGGACUCAAACUGACGCUGAGGUACGAAAGCGUGGGUAGCAAACAGGAUUAGAUCCCUGGUAGUCACGCCUAAACGAUGUCAACUACCGUGGUCUCAUUCGUAAGAUCUGGCCAGUUACGCAUAGUGACCGCUGGGAGACGCGAGGU